rnacentral:rRNA from 1 species
UACGAGGGGGGCAAGCGUUGUUCGGAAUUAUUGGGCGUAAAGGGCGCGUAGGCGGCGCGGUAAGUCACCUGUGAAAUCUCCUGGCUCAACUGGGAGCUUGCAGGCGAAACUGCCGUGCUGGAGUGUGGGAGAGGUGCGUGGAAUUCCCGGUGUAGCGGUGAAAUGCGUAGAGAUCGGGAGGAAGGCCGGUGGCGAAGGCGGCGCUCUGGAACAUUUCUGACGCUGAGGCUCGAAAGCGUGGGGAGCAAACAGG